GGAAAUCUCACCAGGCCCGGACACUGGAAGGAUUGACAGAUUGAUAGCUCUUUCUCGAUUCGGUGGGUGGUGGUGCAUGGCCGUUCUUAGUUGGUGGAGUGAUUUGUCUGGUUAAUUCCGAUAACGAACGAGACUCUGUCCUGCUAAAUAGUGUCAGCCUCUCUUCUGGGCUGACAAUUCUUCUUAGAGGGACUGGCGGCUCCUAGCCGCACGAGAUAGAGCAAUAA
rnacentral:rRNA from 1 species